rnacentral:tRNA from 1 species
CUGGCGCGUCCGGCGUGGGCGCGGGGCUGAAGGCCGCCUGCGGAGCGGCCCCGGGGAAGGCGUCCGGCAGGCCUCGCCCGCCGCGCGGGCC